rnacentral:rRNA from 1 species
GACGAACGCUGGCGGCGUGCUUAACACAUGCAAGUCGAACGCUGAAGCUUGGUGCUUGCACUGGGUGGAUGAGUGGCGAACGGGUGAGUAAUACGUGAGUAACCUGCCCUUGACUCUGGGAUAAGCCUGGGAAACUGGGUCUAAUACUGGAUAUGACAUGCCACUGCAUGGUGGUGUGUGGAAAGGGUUUUCCUGGUUUUGGAUGGGCUCACGGCCUAUCAGCUUGUUGGUGGGGUAAUGGCCUACCAAGGCGACGACGGGUAGCCGGCCUGAGAGGGUGACCGGCCACACUGGGACUGAGACACGGCCCAGACUCCUACGGGAGGCAGCAGUGGGGAAUAUUGCACAAUGGGCGGAAGCCUGAUGCAGCGACGCCGCGUGAGGGAUGACGGCCUUCGGGUUGUAAACCUCUUUCAGCACGGAAGAAGCGAGAGUGACGGUACGUGCAGAAGAAGCGCCGGCUAACUACGUG